AUUGAACGCUGGCGGCAGGCCUAACACAUGCAAGUCGAACGCGUGGCGGACGGGUGAGUAAUGUCUGGGAACCUGCUCGAUGGAGGGGGGUAACUACUGGAAACGGUAGCUAAUACCGCAUACCAUCGGAUGUUCCCAGAUGGGGUUAGCUAGUAGGUGGGGUAACGGCUCACCAAGGCGACGAUCCCUAGCUGGUCUUAGAGGAUGACCGGCCACACUGGAACUGAGACACGGUCCAGACUCCUACGGGAGGCAGCAGUAGGGAAUAUUGCACAAUGGGCGCAAGCCUGAUGCAGCCAAGCCGCGUGUGUGAAGAAGGCCUUCGGGUUGUAAAGUACUUUCAGCGAGGAGGCGUUACUCGCAGAAGAAGCACCGGCUAACUCCGUGCCAGCAGCCGCGGUAAUUC
rnacentral:rRNA from 1 species